AGGUGCUGCAGGAGAUCAAAUUUUGGGCUUACCUACAAAUAUCAGUAGAACUGCUCUUGUCUACAGCUGUAAACAAAUCUCUCAGGAUCUUAAAUGUCUUCACAAGUCUCACCAUUGUUCGGCAUGCUUCCCUUCCCACCUUCCAAUUCCCAACUCCUAAAUAAGUCCCUAAAUAAAUGUAGUUCAGUGUGUAUGAGUAAUAUGCCACUUAGUGCUACCAUUGGCAUGUUUGCUCCAGACAUGUAUCUACCCUAGUGCACGUGUUAAAUUUUUAGGGUUUUUUUAGCAGAGGCAAAACCAAUGAUUUCAAGAAGUGGAAUGAUUUAUCAUAAAACAGUAAAAAAUUCUUCCAUCUGUUCCUGGCCCUCAGCGUUCUGCUGUGUGGCCAAAAGCAAAAUCUGCAGUGUUUGGUUUUGUAUGUCAAAAUGUUUUAUUUUUAUAUGUGAAGUUAAACAGGACCAAUUCUUUCCUCAUCAGUCAUCCACCUCCUUCAUGGAAAGGUGAAUUAUUGAAGUAUAAAUGACUAAAUGUAUAAAGAAGUAAAAAGGAUCACAUGCUGAAGUGACUUUAAAUUCAUAUAAAAGCAAACUCUGAAUCUCACACUAUUGUCUCCUCAUUGGAAAUUUGGUGACUCUGGUGUAAUUUCUGAUCCCACCUGGGAUCUCCAUGUGGACAUUGCUGAAUUCCACACAGAUGUGCUGUAAACCAUGGGCAUAAUUAUAAGUGGAGCUACUCUGUGUAGUGAGAGUCUUUGUUCCAUGUGCUUACAACACGCAGACAAGAAAAUACAGUGGACUAAACUCUGAUCUCAAAAACAGAUGUUCCUCUGGUAAAAUAAAGAUAAAAAUACUAGUAUUUUUAAAUGCUUUGCCUGCAGCUGCGUUUUAAAUAAAUUUCCCCUUUUGGGGGGAAUUUAUUUCCCAGGUUGGAAAAUUUAUUUCCCAGGUUUAUUUUCCAGGUUGGAAAACUAGCUCAUGAAUGAUGCAUCUUGUCUGCACUCAUUCACUCACAUGGUGACAGGACUCAAAUUAGACCCCAUGGCUUACAGAAGACUCAGCAUCAAAUUCUCUGGAAAGAAUCCUGGCUCCCUGAAGGAGCUCAGCAGGCACUGUUCCACUCGGGGACCACCUGGGACCAGUCACAUCCCCCUGCUUCUUGUAGAGGUUAUCCUGCUACAGGUGACUUUAAAUCUCAGCUCUAAUUGGCCUUUGCAAUAGUUACCAAUGGUGGUUUCACAGAACUUCUCAUCAGCCACUUCUUUGGCUAUGUUGGCCCCCAUCAGCACACUGAUCUCUAUUUUCAGCUGCUCUCGAAUGAGGUCAGAGAUGAGCUUCAGGCCAUCAGGACCCUCAUCAAUCCCCUGAAAAGAAGAUAGUCAAAGCCAGGGUAUUAGAAUAGGAAAAUGACAACAGCAGAGCACUGGUAAAGCAGAAGGCAUUCUGUUACCUGCAGCACUCUGGUUUUAAUUGAAAAAAAAAAAAAGAGUCUAAUAAUCACUAGUGUUAUCCAUUAAUAAAAAUGCUCUGGAUUUGUACUUUGGUAACUGCAAAUUCAAGGCAAUCUCAGGGAGAAGGGGUGACAGUCAAGGUAAUCCUGCAAGAAGCCUCACAUGAAGUGCUGCUGUCCUGAGGCUUGCUUUCUUUGAUGUAUUUUUCCUUUCAGUUAAAUUUCUGUAGUACAGGAAAAGACAUUUAAAAUUAAAUCUAUAAGAAAUGGUUUUUUUGCAAGAUCUAAGUAUUAAUCAGAGUGCUUUUUGGGUGUUAAGGAGUAUACUGAACUGUCUUGGGUUUUUUAAGCUGAAUUUGCAGAAAUUUCCUUCCUCUCCCACCUUCCUCUCUUACUGCUGCCUAUGAUAUAAUUUCUAUGGAGCGGAAGAGCUGGUAUUGAAGUCCAAAAACUUGAAUUUCAUUUAUUUCAUUAUAAUUCUAAGUGGGAUAUUUCCUGUAAUACAAUCAAACAAAGAAGUGGUAAGACUACAUUCCUAUGCUUUGCCUCUGGCUUUUAGUUUGACAUUCUCUUAAAAUAUUAAUUCCUUUAAAGAUUAUGAUAAUCUGGUACCUCUCUAACCUUAAAAAGAGAUUCCUCCAUUCAUGCCAGAUUGAAAUUGCUUCAGUUUUGCAAAAUCAUUAGCGUUAUUAUGCCAUUUUAAUGCUGCCAAGAACAGCUUUAGCAUGUACUUGGAAGAGGCACUUUGACUCGGGAGUUCUCAGUUAGGAGUUAACUCAGGCUGUAGUCUCAGAGUAUUUUUUCUGGCAGCAGUGCCAGCUUUACACAUCCCUUCCUCUGCCCAUUUUCACCUCCAUGCUGGUCCAAGUGGGAACUGAUCCAGGCUAAACAUGACUGGCAAAAACAGAUACUUUUAGCCUGAAUAGGUUGCCCCAUCCUUCCCUGUCAACAGCCAGGAGAGCAGCAGAAGGGCUGGCAGAGCUGGGCAAGGUGUAACUCUUGCAGAAAGAAAUGCUGGUGUUUAUGCAGAGCACGCAGCUGAGGGCUGCAGCUCCUGCCCUUAAGUUGGAGCUGUUUAUUUACUCCAUAUUGACUGGGUACUGUGGAAACAACUUACCUUGAUCAGGGAAAUCCCAAAUGUCCCAGGUUUUAUCUGUCCUGCAAUCUGCCCACAGAUUCGUCCAAUAAAUUGAUGUGGCAGAACAAACACUAAAAUAUCCGCCCCGUUUGCUGCUUCAGCCACGUCUGGGACAGCCACCUGGGACAAGAGUGACAAACAAAAUGAGCCCCAGGUAGGAAUCCUCAGUCCUUGCAAGACACCAUCAUGCCAAAGCCAUGGCAGAUGCAGUGCAAACGUCCUUAAUUUUAACUGGCCCUGUGGCAUAGCUGCCAGCUCUCCACACAGCUACAGAUCUCUUCUGAAAUAUCCAAAGCAGAUGAACUGUUUUGGGGUUUGAUUUUUUAUAUUUUUUUUAUAAUUUAACCCUGCGUGGAUAAUGUGGGAAAGAUGAUAUACUUCAUAAAUUUGUGGUGUGCUGGGAAGCCCCUUUGCUAGUUCAGCUUCUUGAUCUGGCUCCUGAAGAUGGCUGACCAACCCAUAUAAUUCUUCUGGAAUGAAUGGUAGCACUGGGGAGCACAGGAGAAAAUUGGGGUGAUGGGACAGAGGCUCUUCUAGAAGUCUUUAGUUUCCAUAGGUCACCAGCUGAGUUACUGAGGGAUAAACUAUCAGAAGACAGAGAUUAUCAUUAUCUUUGUGUGUGUGUCUUUGUUUUAAAUACACAGUAAUUUUCCCAAGACUUACAAAAACCUAUACAACAUGCUUAAAAACUAUCUAGCUGUAUCUUCCUCCAAAUGCUGGCAUUACUCAGAACAGCAAUUCAAGCUAGGCAACAGGUGAAUUUGAGCCUGCUAGAAGCAGUUUACAGUAGGAGAAAACAUCACUCUUGGAUGCAGCCUUGGAGCAUGCAGUCUUAUCCCAGCAAGAAAACCAGAGCUGCUGCCAGCCAGGCUGCUUCUCUGGGAAAACAGUGAAGUAGGAGCAGGGCAGAGGCUGUGCUCCUGUCUCUCCAAAAUUGCUGCAGAGCAAUACAAGGAAAAGCUCAGCUUGUUUGGUUUUCUUUUUUUUUUUUCUCAGUUGGAGAUGGUCUGAGGGUCCCUCUACUGCAGCCAGCUGAUUUUUGCUGGUGAAGCCUCAGGCUUUGCUCUAAACAGGGUGAGACUGGCCCCAAGGGAUGAUGACAAAAUCUGCUAGAGGUUUGUAAAAAUAACAGUGACAAGUCAGUUGUAACCCAGGAGAACUGUGUGCCAAGUUCAAACACUAGGAGUGCAAAUAUGCAAUCACAGCACAAAAUGGAAUACUAAAUAUAACCACUCCCCAAGCAAGGAGACCCACCACAUGGAGCAUUUUCAUUUCCCUUUACAACUGCAACUGUUCCAAAAAUGUGGCACUACUCACAAAGCAGUGGUGUUGGGUAAAAUGUUGAACAGCCAAACCCCCUCACCUCAUUUGCUUCAGUAGCAGUAAAUUAUCCAAGGUGAUUAAUUUAAGUAGAGAUGUGUAACUUAGUAUUUUAAAUGUGCAUGAAAAUAAAUACCUUAUAUUUUGAUGGAAUUUAGAACUUUAUUAACUACAGCUGUCCAGAAAUCACCCAUGAGCUGAUAGCUCAUUAUUCACCUCCUUGUAAGCCACAGCUCUGCUUUUGAUUUCUUUCUCAAGAAAGGAGAACAGUAGCUUUGGCUGUUUUUUCCAGAAGAUGCUCUGGGUUUGAAAUAUCUCAGCUCUGUAUAGACAGAUCUCUGCCAGGGAGGAGGAUGGUGUGAUACCAGCACAGACACAGUUGGUGUUUGAAGUUGCACAUGACAUACAAGACAAGCAGAAAUCACAGAACUUAAUUAUAUUCCAGGGAGUUAUAAUGGAGUGAGUUAGGUGGCAAACCAGAACAAAACAGUGAAUUGCUUCCUGAUUUUUUUUCAGACAUUGCCUCCCUUAUUAAAAAAAAAAUACAAAAAGUAUAUAUAAAAAUUCAGUUAUUCAAUUUUUUUUAAUAACUUACCACAUUGUGGGGUAUCUUAUACCCAGGCAGAUAUUUAACAUUUUCAUGUUCCUGGUUGAUGAUUUCUGAGAGUUUUCUUCCAUUAAUCAUCUCUUCAAAUACCCACAUCUUGACAGUGGGAUCAAAUCUGUUUGACUUCUGGACAUUUUUGCCAAUGAU